UGGGGAAUAUUGGACAAUGGGGGAAACCCUGAUCCAGCAAUGCCGCGUGAGUGAAGAAGGCCUUAGGGUUGUAAAGCUCUUUCGCCCGCGAAGAUAAUGACGGUAGCGGGAGAAGAAGCCCCGGCUAACUCCGUGCCAACAGCCGCGGUAAUACGGAGGGGGCUAGCGUUGUUCGGAAUUACUGGGCGUAAAGCGUACGUAGGCGGAUGCGCAAGUUGGGGGUGAAAUCCCGGGGCUUAACCUCGGAAUUGCCCUCAAAACUGCACGUCUUGAGACCGAGAGAGGUGAGGGGAAUUCCUAGUGUAGAGGUGAAAUUCGUAGAUAUUAGGAAGAACACCAGUGGCGAAGGCGCCUUACUGGCUCGGUACUGACGCUGAGGUACGAAAGCGUGGGGAGCAAACA
rnacentral:rRNA from 1 species